CCUACGGGGGGCUGCAGUGGGGAAUAUUGGACAAUGGGGGCAACCCUGAUCCAGCCAUGCCGCGUGUGUGAAGAAGGCCUUAGGGUUGUAAAGCACUUUCAGUGGGGAGGAAAAGUUGCCGGCGAAUACCCGGCGACCGUGACGCUACCUGCAGAAGAAGCACCGGCAAACUCCGUGCCAGCAGCCGCGGUAAUACGGAGGGGACGAGCGUUGAUCGGAAUUACUGGAGGUGAAGUGCGCGUAGGCGGUUGAAAGCCCUGGGCUCAACCUGGGAACUGCAUCCAGAACUGCCAGGCUAGAGUAUGGUAGAGGACAGUGGAAUUUCCGGUGUAGCGGUGAAAUGCGUAGAGAUCGGAAGGAACACCAGUGGCGAAGGCGACUGUCUGGACCAAUACUGACGCUGAGGUGCGAAAGCGUGGGGAGCAAACAGGAUUAGAUACCCGGGUAGUC
rnacentral:rRNA from 1 species